rnacentral:rRNA from 1 species
CCUACGGGAGGCAGCAGUGGGGAAUAUUGGGCAAUGGAGGAAACUCUGACCCAGCGACGCCGCGUGAGGGAUGAAGGCCUUCGGGUUGUAAACCUCUUUCAGUAGGGAAGAAGCGAAAGUGACGGUACCUACAGAAGAAGCACCGGCUAACUAUGUGCCAGCAGCCGCGGUAAUACAUAGGGUGCAAGCGUUGUCCGGAAUUAUUGGGCGUAAAGAGCUCGUAGGUGGUUCGAUACGUCGGAUGUGAAAAUCAGGGGCUCAACCCCUGACCUGCAUCCGAUACGGUCGAGCUAGAGUUCGGUAGGGGAGACUGGAAUUCCUGGUGUAGCGGUGGAAUGCGCAGAUAUCAGGAGGAACGCCGAUGGCGAAGGCAGGUCUCUGGGCCAAUACUGACACUGAGGAGCGAAAGCGUGGGGAGCGAACAGGAUUAGAUACCCUGGUAGUCCACGCCGUAAACGGUGGGCGCUAGUUGUGCGAACCUUCCACGGUUUGUGCGACGCAGCUAACGCAUUAAGCGCCCGCCUGGGGAGUACGAGCGCGAGAGUAAACGUACGUAAGUAAGUAGUUACGACGUGAGACGUGCGACGGACGACGACGAGGGAGGAGG